ACGAACCGUACGAACGUUAUUCGGAAUCACUGGGCUUAAAGAGUGCGUAGGCGGCCAAGCAAGUUGGGUGUGAAAUCCCUCGGCUCAACCGAGGAACUGCGCUCAAAACUGCUUGGCUUGAGAAAGAUAGAGGUGAGCGGAACUAAUGGUGGAGCGGUGAAAUGCGUUGAUAUCAUUAGGAACACCAGUGGCGAAAGCGGCUCACUGGGUCUUUUCUGACGCUGAGGCACGAAAGCUAGGGGAGCGAACGGG
rnacentral:rRNA from 1 species